GAUCCAUUUCGGAGUUCACUCUCCCCACUUAUGGUUCAAAAUCUGGUUUGUGCACAAGACUGGCUUCAAGCCUUGGUUCCAAUUUCUUUUCGCAAAUCAAAAGAUGAGGUAGAGGUCUUGGAAGAUGAAUUUCAUGAUUUAGUUAUACGUCAAGCAGCAAGAGGUGGUGGAAGUUCAAGCUCAAGCAAAGGUAUCUCAAUUAACAUUGAUGACUAAUCAAAAACUGGGAGGAAGGACACACAUUUUGUAUAGGAGGCAGAUUUUUGGAUGCAAUUUGAAAGUUUUUUUGGACACUGCUUUUCUAACUGAUAAUUGAUAAAUUAACUCUUGCUUAUAGGAAAGAAAACUUAUUAAGUUUAAUAGGCUUUCUUUUCUAUAAGUCAUGGACUAAACUCUAUAUAGUAGUUGCUCUUUAAAUGUUUUAGAAAAGCUAUUUUUUGGAAGUUUGUAACUAAGUAUAGCUAGCUACUGCUUUACACACUUUCUGCCUUCUUUAACUCUAUGGAAAUAUUGCAAGAGAUGCUCUUAUUAUCUUUUGUUACCACACUUGUGAUGUGGUUGUGAUUGAA